rnacentral:rRNA from 1 species
CCAAACUGUUGCCUCGGCGGGAUCUCUGCCCCGGGUGCGUCGCAGCCCCGGACCAAGGCGCCCGCCGGAGGACCAACCAAAACUCUUUUUGUAUACCCCCUCGCGGGUUUUUUUAUAAUCUGAGCCUUCUCGGCGCCUCUCGUAGGCGUUUCGAAAAUGAAUCAAAACUUUCAACAACGGAUCUCUUGGUUCUGGCAUCGAUGAAGAACGCAGCGAAAUGCGAUAAGUAAUGUGAAUUGCAGAAUUCAGUGAAUCAUCGAAUCUUUGAACGCACAUUGCGCCCGCCAGUAUUCUGGCGGGCAUGCCUGUCCGAGCGUCAUUUCAACCCUCGAACCCCUCCGGGGGGUCGGCGUUGGGGAUCGGCCCUGCCUCUUGGCGGUGGCCGUCUCCGAAAUACAGUGGCGGUCUCGCCGCAGCCUCUCCUGCGCAGUAGUUUGCACACUCGCAUCGGGAGCGCGGCGCGUCCACAGCCGUUAAACACCCAACUUCUGAAAUGUUGACCUCGGAUCAGGUAGGAAUACCCGCUGAACUUAAGCAUAUCAAAAGCCGGAGGAA